UAUUUGACACACAUGAUUGGACGUUAAGUGUUACGUUUAUUCUGAAAAUUAGCGCCUUUUGUAACGUAGUUAAUUAAUUAUCAUAUGCAAACAAAGGUACUGACGUGACAAUGCCCACAGAAUGAUGAUUUGGGCCGAUUUCCCUACAAGUAUGCAUAAGAAAAUUUCAGCUGAGUUGAAAUUCUAAAUUUUUGCAUUUAUGUUAUGGUUUUUUUCGAAGAAUUACUGCAACAUUAAUUAACCACCGACAUCUGCUCGAAACGAAAAACAAACACGGUGCGUAAGAAACUGCGGAUGUUGGACAGUUAUGAAGUAAUGAAGUUGGCAACUUUUAUUCUGUCUAUAUCACUCGAGAGUUGACUCUUUUCGCUCUUUAAACCCUCGGACCAUGUCAACAAUGCAACAUUGUCAACCAGCCGAUGCGAGUUUUAAAACAGUUGCCUGCGUGUAACAAUGGGAAACAAUAGGCCACAAAUUAUUUCAAGCCGGCCACAAAUAUUUUAUAAUGCAUUCAGAAAUUGACGCAACCGAUGCGUUUUUGAUUCAGAAGUAAUUUGUUUGGAAACAAAACGUGCGGAAAUACCGAAAUAAUUAAGUUAUUAACGAGAUGAAGAUAAAUGAAGGUGCUAACCUGUGGGUAUAACCUUUGGAAAAAAUCUCGCUUGCUCAAUGCUUGAUAUGUUUUUCUGUAUCGUUGGAGGACAAUCGCAAUUUGCACCUUGACCUCGUUCCUGAGGUCCAUAAACGAAAAUCGUUCCUUCGUGUAUGGCUCGUAAACGAAAAGAUACUUCGUGUUAAGUUCCCAUCAACGGUGUAAUAAGCUUAGAAAUUAAAAGUCCAGAACCGGUUGGGACUAACAGCGUCCACAACCCUUGAAAAUAAUUCUCAUGAUGAACAAUAAUACAGUCGGGGUCGACUGCCAUGUUGAAUUUAUUAGAAUCGUGGGUUCCAAACUUGAUGGACUCUCCGAGGGGUUCGAGCUGGAGAGGCUAUUCCUCUGACAGAAAGGCGCCGCCGAUUCGGACCAUCAUCCAACAAGAUAUAUCAACUUUUUGUUCACUUUCUGACAGCGUCCGCCCUGUGUUUAUGUUAAGUUCAACAGAUAACACCCAGGAACAUAUUAAAUGUGAGAUAAUUUCGUGUCGGCGGAUUUGUUUGAAUAUGCCUCGUAACGAACGAAUGGAGAUAACUCGACGACAAUAAAAUCGUUGCUUCAUUCCGACAGAAAGCAAUUCAAUUGUUAGGCUGCAAAUAGUUUUAUUACUUUUUCUUAAAUUUGAUACGAGAAAGCACGUGAAAGUCUUUUUAUGAUCAUUGGAGCUUAUUUAAUUCAUUAAUGAGAAAUCUAUUGUUAAUCUUGAUAUACGCUCAAUCGACUUUGCUUUGUACUUUCUGAUCCGGAUCGUUUCUAUUCUCUGCGAUCACAUCUCAGUAGUGAACAGAUAACACAACAAAUAAA